rnacentral:lncRNA from 1 species
UUUUUUUUUUUUUGGUUUUUGAGCCGUUUAUCUGAUACGAUCUACGAUGACCGUUGGAUUCUUUAUUCUGCUAAUAAUGGAAGUAAAAAGGUGUGUGAGUGACCUGGAGGCACUAGCUUUGUCUAAACCGGAACCAAAUUAAGAAUUGAACCAGACCGGUUCAUUUCUAUUCAUCUGCCUGGGCAUUUUAAUUUGGACCCGAAAACCCGAGCCAGAACCGACUUGAAAAUAUCUGAUCCAAAACCGAACCAAAAAUUUACAAGUACCUUUUGAAUCUAAAUUUAUUUUACCCGAAAGAACCAGAACCGAUCCAAAAAGAUCUGGAUCCAACAAGAACCGUUCCGAAUAGAUCUGAUCUUAUUAUUUUAUAAUUUAAUCGAAAUAUCUUUUGUUAGUAACAUUUGUUAUUAUUUUGUAACAUUUUAAGUAAUAUGAAAAUUUAAAAUAUAAAAAAUAGAGUUUAAAAAUAUUUUAUUUGAAUUAUUAAUAGUGUCAUUUAAGUUAUUUUAUAAAAUUUUAGAUAUAUAUGACAAAUAUCGAUUAAAUUUGAUGGAGUUGGAUAUGUUAUGUAUUUCUUAGAUCCUAAAUACCCGAACUUGAUCUGAACUCGAUAUGGAUACGAAAAAUUAUGGAUAUUUUAUGGGUAUUUUUAUUAUAGAUUCAAACCGACUCGGAUCCGAAAAGAACCAACCAGAAUCCAAACUAAAAAGAUUCAAAUACUUAUUGGAUUUAAAUAUUUAAGAUCCGAAAAAAACCCGAUGACCGAACGCCCAUAUAAGGAUGUCAUUUUUCAAGCUUCGUUUUUGCAAUUUUAAGACAAACCAGCUGGGCCGUGAACGGCCCAACAACGGUUUAUUCCGGUAAUUACAAACUGGCUUUCUUAGUUAAUCAAGAGCUAUAUCUCCGGUUUAGUGUUUUUAGAUAUUUUCGUUUACAGACUUUACAUUCUCAGUGACAUUUUUGUUCACACUCUUAAGCUAUAUCUCCGGUUUAGUGUUUUUAGAUAUUUUCGUUUACAGACUUUCCAUUCUCAGUGACAUUUUUGUUCACCCUCUUUCUCUUCUCUGCUUACGGUUUUGAACCCAAAGUCUCGAGAUCAUCAUCACGGUCUGCUAAAGCGUAAACCACGGCAGUUCUACAUGGUGUGUAGACCAUGAACGAGGAGGGUCGUCCGUCAUAUGAGCCCUC